GUUGUUGGCAAGAUGGCGGCUUGCGUGGAGAGGCAACGGGACAGACGAGACACACGUGUGUUUAUCUGCUGCAGAGAGACUGAUCAAGGAAUGCUGCCAUCAAAGCCUCUCAAUCUUUUGUGGUGGAGCAGGACUUGCAAGGAAAGGUGACAUUUGUGAAAAAAGGGAAACCCUGAAACAAAAGGAUAACCACAGCAGCAUCCUGGAAAUGGUCCAGUGACACAGAUGAGACGCUCCAUCACUCCACCUCUUACUGCCUCAUCUGGACCGGAUGUUGCUGUGGUCUCUUCAUUCUCAGUGACCCCAGAGCCAGCGAGAGCAUCUAGAGAAAGAAAGACCUGAAGCGUCUACAAUCCCCCGAUCAACCUGGAGGAAAGAGCCUUGCUCAAGGGCAUACUGAUGGUUUAGAACCCGCGACCUUCUGCUCACCAGUUCAGUGGUUUAGCCCACAACAAAAUAUGCUCUGUACAUGGUCCUUGAGAUGCCCUUUGAUUUCUCAGCUUUUGAUUUUCGUCUAAUACUAAAAUGGUGGUGCCUCAUUCUCUUGAAAUAUUUUGCACUUGAAAGGUAUCUUUUUCUCACUUACGUUUUUCUCUGUCCAGACUACGAAUUACCAUAAUUAUUUUCACAGGAAACAUGUCCUCACUGUGUGCAAGUACCAGAAGUGUGCAGGAGACUGGAAUCUGCAACAGGGAGCCAAGGAUAACAAAAGACCUCCACACUGCAGUUGGAUGGCUGCAGAAAAACCUCUGUGUCUUCAGAGAUUUGGUGAGAGAGCUGAGGUUCCUCCAACUGAAAGAGGAAGACCAGAAGAGAGCUCUUCUUCAGCUUUCACAGGCCUAAAUGGCUGACGAACAGCAACUGGCCAAAGAACCUUUUGUUUUCCAAUUCCAAUAUAAGGAUAAUAUAGACAGUUUUCUCGAUGAGUGCAUGGACAAAAGGGGCCUAAAAUAAAUUGCAUGUUUCUCGAGUUCUGAUUUAUUUUAUUUUUCUUUUAUCAGUUUUGAUAAUUAUUGUUAAAUGUGUGCCUGCUUUGCUUUAACAUUUGUUUGUUUUUUUAUUUAUCUUUUGCUACUUAUGUAUGAUAAUGUGUAUUUUGUAAUUGUAAAAUAAUAAUAAUAAUAAUAAUAAUAAUAAAAUUAAAAUAUUCAAAUCAUCAAGCUUUCUUU
ensembl:lncRNA